rnacentral:rRNA from 1 species
AUUGAACGCUGGCGGCAUGCCUUACACAUGCAAGUCGAACGGUAACGGGCCUUCGGGUGCCGACGAGUGGCGAACGGGUGAGUAAUGUAUCGGAACGUACCUUUCAGUGGGGGAUAACGUAGCGAAAGUUACGCUAAUACCGCAUAUUCUGUGAGCAGGAAAGCAGGGGAUCGCAAGACCUUGCGCUGAUUGAGCGGCCGAUAUCAGAUUAGCUAGUUGGUGAGGUAAAAGCUCACCAAGGCGACGAUCUGUAGCGGGUCUGAGAGGAUGAUCCGCCAAACUGGAACUGAGACACGGUCCAGACUCCUACGGGAGGCAGCAGUGGGGAAUUUUGGACAAUGGGGGCAACCCUGAUCCAGCCAUUCCGCGUGAGUGAAGAAGGCCUUCGGGUUGUAAAGCUCUUUCGGCAGGAACGAAACGGCGAGCUCUAACAUAGCUUGCUAAUGACGGUACCUGAAGAAGAAGCACCGGCUAACUACGUGCCAGCCGCCGCUGUAAAAC